rnacentral:rRNA from 1 species
UACGUAGGGUGCAAGCGUUAAUCGGAAUUACUGGGCGUAAAGCGUGCGCAGGCGGUUCGGUAAGAAAGAUGUGAAAUCCCAGGGCUUAACCUUGGAACUGCAUUUUUAACUACCGGGCUAGAGUGUGGCAGAGGGAGGUGGAAUUCCGCGUGUAGCAGUGAAAUGCGUAGAUAUGUGGAGGAACACCGAUGGCGAAGGCAGCCUCCUGGGAUAACACUGACGCUGAUGCACGAAAGCGUGGGGAGCAAACA